UGGUCAAAGACUACAAAGACAGGACAGCCGGCAAAAGAUGAAACGUUUUUGGCUUCGGCUCUCAGUGACCUCGUCCCUUUAAAGUGCGACUUCGAGGAGAUUUCAGAUAUUGCCAUACUUAUUCUAAUUGAACAAAAUUUCAUUAUAAAUUAUGCACACUAUAUAUAAUGAACGUAUAUUCUUGAUGGAAUAUGAUAAAUAUUUUAAAUAUUUUAAUAUUACUUAGGUAUUACUUAUUAUGAAGAAUAUUUAAUCCAAUAUUUCUAAUAUUUUUUUGUGUACAUUUUUGAUAUAAUACCUAUAUUUUUAGUUAUUGUGUAAAACAUGGCAACAUUGCAAAUACUUGACAAGGUUGAACUAGGUUAGUAGGUCAGGGAGUUUUUAACCUACAUUUUUGCAGAAGUUUGUAGUGUUUAUUUGAUAUUUUAUUGUAUUUUUUAUUUAAAUAAAGAAUGAAAUUUUUAAUUGCUGAGCAUAGUGUGAUUCGAUUGGGUUAGUUACCAUUUAAAAUGCUAAGAACAGUUUCUAUUGUUGGAAGGUGAAAAUAAAAACAGCAAAUUGUUUACAGACUUUGUUUAAAUUAGUAUUUGCAGAAAAGUGUCUAUAUUUAUCAAGUAUUUAUCUAAUGUGAAAUAACAAAUUCAUUAAAAGAUAUGUUUGAAUUCUUAUGAUUUCCACUGUUGAAAUGGCAAAACAAUAUAUUUCUAGGAAAUAUCGGAAAUAUCGAAAACGGAAUAUUUUCUAGUGAAAGAAAUACAUUUAAAAGUGAGUGCAUAUUAAGCUAAGGAGAAAUUUUGUAUAAGAAGUUGUUCCAUAUACAGGACAUGCAGAACAUCAAAAUCCAAUUAAAUUAGUAAAGAGCUGAGGGUAUCUAUACUAUAAAAUUUAUAGUUUUGUCUAUUUUUAUCACCAAAAUAUAAGUUACGUAUUUUUGUUAACGAAGGUUGUUUCUUGUUAAGUAACUAAAACAAGGAUCAAAAAAAGAAGACUCAAUCAAUAUGCACCAGUGUAUUUUUAUAAAUAUCACAUAAUUUGCAAAUAUUACAACAAUAAAUGUCUCAGUUUUA